AGAAGGAAGCCAAGUCCCCAGAGGAAGCCAAAUCCCCAGCCGAGGCCAAAUCCCCAGUGAAGGAAGAAGCAAAAUCUCCAGCUGAGGUCAAGUCCCCUGAAAAGGCCAAG